AUGGAGGUUGUGAGCGCCGCACACGGUGCGUUUGGUCCUCUGCUGGAGAAGCUCACCACCCUGCUCGUCGACGAGUAUGCUAGGCUCAAAGGGGUCCGCCGCGAGAUCCGUUCCCUCAGAUCAGAGCUCAGAAGCAUGCAUGCUGCACUCAAAGAGUACACCAAGCAAGAAGACCCAAAUGACCAAGUGAAGACAUGGAUAUCGCUGGUCAGGGAGUUGGCCUAUGACACCGAGGAUGCCUUGGACAAGUUCGUCCACCAUUUUGGCAAUGGAAGUCGAAGGCACCACGGCGAUUUCAGGAAGCUCUUCCGGAAGUUUGUCAUCUCAAGACGCUUGGGUCUCGCCGUGGAAUUGAGCACCAGAUUGACGACCUCAAGGACCGCAUCAAGCAAGUGA
rnacentral:rRNA from 1 species